rnacentral:lncRNA from 1 species
AAUUUUUAAUGUUUAUUAAUAGAUCAGUACUUUGGAGAUUCUAAAUUUGGAAGAUCAGGGUGCACUUCUGAGUGAUGAUGAAAUAUUUGCUAGCCGUCAAACUGGGAAACAUACCUGCAUGGCCUUGCGCAAGUAUUUUGAGGCUCACCUGGCCAUUAAAUUGGAACAAGUGAAACAGUCACUUCAGAGAACUGAGGGUGGCAUUCUUGUUCACCCUCAACCCCCAUACAAGGUAAGAGGUUGUA